ensembl:lncRNA
AUAUAUUCAAGAUAAUAAUAGUUCAUUUUCAAGCCCUGAAAUGUAACCUUAUUAUCUCCUGUUAGUUGUGUUUUUGUUUUGUUGUUGUCACAACAUUCAAUUUUCUGUCUUUAUUUCCUAAGAAUGCCUAUGAAAUGUUUUUGUUUUAUAGAUUCUGAGAACUGACCCUGGAAGAAUCAAAUAGGAUCUUCUUCAGUGGAGUUACUGCAGGCACUUCUAGAUGUAGGACUGGAGCCUGCCAGGCUCCUCUGUCCAUGGAAUUUUCCAGUCAAGAAUACUGCAGUUCA